rnacentral:rRNA from 1 species
AUUGAACGCUGGCGGCAGGCCUAACACAUGCAAGUCGAGCGGAUGAAGAGAGCUUGCUCUCUGAUUUAGCGGCGGACGGGUGAGUAAUGCCUAGGAAUCUGCCUGGUAGCGGGGGAUAACGUUCCGAAAGGAACGCUAAUACCGCAUGCGUCCUACGGGAGAAAGCAGGGGACCUUCGGGCCUUGCGCUAUCAGAUGAGCCUAGGUCGGAUUAGCUAGUUGGUGAGGUAAUGGCUCACCAAGGGUACGAUCCGUAACUGGUCUGAGAGGAUGAUCAGUCACACUGGAACUGAGACACGGUCCAGACUCCUACGGGAGGCAGCAGUGGGGAAUAUUGGACAAUGGGCGAAAGCCUGAUCCAGCCAUGCCGCGUGUGUGAAGAAGGUCUUCGGAUUGUAAAGCACUUUAAGUUGGGAGGAAGGGCAGUAAGUUAAUACCUUGCUGUUUUGACGUUACCGACAGAAUAAGCACCGGCUAACUUCGUGCCAGCCGCCGCCGUAACAC